UGUAUCUAGGGACAUGAUUUGGAAAGGU
rnacentral:piRNA from 1 species